rnacentral:lncRNA from 1 species
GUCAGAUAGUAAAGUGACUGAUCUACCCUGGCACCCUACCUGUUUUUAUUUUUAAACACUAAUAUAACUGUAUCUUUUUUUGUGAUAACAGGAAGCAACUAAUUCUAUCUCUAUGUUACCAAUGAAGAAGUUGAAACCCAGAAAUGUUAAAUGAUUUCAGCAGAGGCAGCAGAGGGAAGCAUCCAGGGUUUAAAACAAAGCUUGAAGCUUUGACAGAGCUGUCCUUUAAAGAAAGGACAAGUGAUUUUAAUUUUCAGGAUCCUAGCAACCAAAAGUGAUGUAGGUGAAAAAUGUUCCACAAGUGUUACUCGUAUCACAAGAAAGAGCAAGAAUUGCUUUGCAGAUUGGCACAUGAAGUUCACUCCUGCAAUGCACCUGCAUCCCAUAGCUCCAAAAAGUACAAAAUCUGCUCAUAAAAAAUAGAAGUGGACUGACAACUUCAGCAUUUUCUUUUACCUCUGUCAGUAGAAGUGAAGUCACUGAAGAAUCAGCUGUCAGGCGGCUGCAUCUCUAAAUUAUCCAAUGCAUCAGCCACCACUGCUACUGAAUACGUCCCUUGGUCUACAGAAUUCCUAAUGUAUGAAGUAGACAGUGGAUGAGAGUACACUGACUAUCAAAAUGGGGAUUAAAAUGUCCUUAAUGUAACCACCCAAGCUUUCAUUCUGGCAAAUGUGUUUUAUGGAUUGGGAGGACAGGAAGGAUUGGGAGAGAAGAGAUUAAGGACUUUGUUUCCUUAGCAUUCAGAAAGAGUAUAGUAUCAUCCAUCUGAAAGGACUUAAAUUUUGAUCUGUCUCUGGGAAGCUCCUAUAUAUGGUAGGUAAUCUAGAUGGAUUAAGUUUGUUUUCCCUUCCAAAUGAACCUAUGACCAA